GCGAACUGUGGGUUUCCUCAAGAAUCAAAUCUCUAAGCCCAUCCACAUUGGGCACACAAAUCCGACCCUGCAUCCUUGACACUCCAUCAUCACCUAUAGUCACAUUUCUAGCAUCUUCGUGGGGAACUCUGUUCUUUAGGAAAAGAAAAUUCGAAUCAUCAUACUGGCACUCUUUGACGUUAUCAUAUAAAGAAGACCGAGAAAUCACGCAAUCCAAUACCCGACUAUGCUAUGAAAUGUCUAAUCUCACAAAUUGAUUGGCCAAAGCCUGAACAUCAACUACAAAAGGACUCUCCCCAAUUUGAAUAUAUGCCAAACUCCCCAUACUAAGUGCCUUUCGGCUCAGAGCAUCGGCCACUGCAUUAGCCUUUCCCGGAUGAUACAAAAUGGUAAUAUCAUAGUCCUUAAGUAAC
rnacentral:lncRNA from 1 species